GCAAACUUGGUCAUUUAGAGGAAGUAAAAGUCGUAACAAGGUUUCCGUAGGUGAACCUGCGGAAGGAUCAUUAAAGAGAAGGGGGUUACACGCCCCCGGGGCUCCGGCCCUCCUCUUCACCCGUGAAUAUCUAUCUUCUGUUGCUUCGGGAGGCCUUGGGGUCGUACCUAUGGCGGCGGGGUCUCCCCGCCGGCGAGUGCCUACCGAUAGCCCCUAUUUUCACAUUCUGAAUUCAGUGUUGUCUGAGUGAAAACAAAAAAUCAAGCAAAACUUUCAACAACGGAUCUCUUGGUUCUGGCAUCGAUGAAGAACGCAGC
rnacentral:misc_RNA from 1 species